rnacentral:rRNA from 1 species
ACGCCGUAAACGAUGUCGACUUGGAGGUUGUGCCCUUGAGGCGUGGCUUCCGGAGCUAACGCGUUAAGUCGACCGCCUGGGGAGUACGGCCGCAAGGUUAAAACUCAAAUGAAUUGACGGGGGCCCGCACAAGCGGUGGAGCAUGUGGUUUAAUUCGAUGCAACGCGAAGAACCUUACCUGGUCUUGACAUCCACGGAAGUUUUCAGAGAUGAGAAUGUGCCUUCGGGAACCGUGAGACAGGUGCUGCAUGGCUGUCGUCAGCUCGUGUUGUGAAAUGUUGGGUUAAGUCCCGCAACGAGCGCAACCCUUAUCCUUUGUUGCCAGCGGUCCGGCCGGGAACUCAAAGGAGACUGCCAGUGAUAAACUGGAGGAAGGUGGGGAUGACGUCAAGUCAUCAUGGCCCUUACGACCAGGGCUACACACGUGCUACAAUGGCGCAUACAAAGAGAAGCGACCUCGCGAGAGCAAGCGGACCUCAUAAAGUGCGUCGUAGUCCGGAUUGGAGUCUGCAACUCGACUCCAUGAAGUCGGAAUCGCUAGUAAUCGUGGAUCAGAAUGCCACGGUGAAUACGUUCCCGGGCCUUGUACACACCGCCCGUCACACCAUGGGAGUGGGUUGCAAAAGAAGUAGGUAGCUUAACCUUCGGGAGGGCGCUUACCACUUUGUGAUUCAUGACUGGGGUGAAGUCGUAACAAGGUAACCGUAGGGGAACCUGCGGUUG